CUUGGUCAUUUAGAGGAAGUAAAAGUCGUAACAAGGUCUCCGUAGGUGAACCUGCGGAAGGAUCAUUACCGAAUGAGCUGUGCGUCACUGUGGUAGACACACUGUGCACCUUCUUGUAGUAGACCAUUCAAUAGUCUGCCAUCAGAAUUCGAUGGGAAUCUCGGAUGCUGUGUUGUGGCGGGCUUUUUGGUCUCCUACGUCUUCUUUUUUUCACCACACAAAACCUGUCGUCGUAUGGUGUUGCGCUUGAACACAUAUAACAUAACUUUCAACAACGGAUCUCUUGGCUCUCGCAUCGAUGAAGAACGCAGCGAAAUGCGAUAAGUAAUGUGAAUUGCAGAAUUCAGUGAAUCAUCGAAUCUUUGAACGCACCUUGCGCUCCCCGGCAUUCCGAGGAGCAUGCCUGUUUGAGCGUCGUUGAACUCUCAGCAUCCUACCCGAUCUGUUGUGGUGGACCAUUCAUUGCAUUGAUCGGGGAAGGGGAGGUAUCAGCUACUUCCCGGCUUGUGGAUUGUGGAGGAUGCAAUGCUGCCCCAAUUGGGUGGGGGGCCUCCUUUGCUUCUCUGAAAUGGAGUGCCGUUACGACUGUGGGCUGCGGUCACAAUGAACCUGGCGCCGGUAUGAUACACUCUUCUUACCUGCAUCUGGUCCAUGCGGGCCGUGUCCAAUAUUUGACCUCAAAUCAGGCAGGACUACCCGCUGAACUUAAGCAUAUCAAUAAGCGGAGGA
rnacentral:misc_RNA from 1 species